UGGCGGCCUAAGCCCGGGCU
rnacentral:snRNA from 1 species